CAGCCGCCGCGGGAAUACGUAGGUGGCAAGCGUUGUCCGGAAUUAUUGGGCGUAAAGGGCUCGCAGGCGGCUUCUUAAGUCUGAUGUGAAAGCCCCCGGCUCAACCGGGGAGGGCCAUUGGAAACUGGGAAACUUGAGUGCAGAAGAGGAGAGUGGAAUUCCACGUGUAGCGGUGAAAUGCGUAGAGAUGUGGAGGAACACCAGUGGCGAAGGCGACUUUCUGGUCUGUAACUGACGCUGAGGAGCGAAAGCGUGGGGAGCGAACAGGAUUAGAUACCCGAGUAGUCCCUGUCUCUUAUAC
rnacentral:rRNA from 1 species